AGUAACUGGCAGAGGUUACCUCGUAAAUAGCAUGACCUCUGCUAAAAAAAGUAGGAUGAAUCCUAAGGAAGUUAAUAGCUGAAGGCUGCAGCUACUAGAUUCCAGAGAGUGGCCUGGGGCACAAGAUACUCAACCAGAGCAGACAGUGUCAGCCUCUGUCAUGGAAAGAUUGAACAGGAGAAUCUGGAACCAGGAGUGAGCAGAGCUGGCCCCAGGCCUUGGUGGCUGUGUACUAGUUCUGUGACCUGCAAUCAGUCACUUAACUUCUGUGAGCUCCUCUCUUUCCGUCUGUAAAAAAGGAAUAUGUACUACCCACUUCCUGAGUAGAUGUUGAAGAUGUUGUAAAAGGUUCGAGUCAACCAAUUAAAAGCAAUAGAUCACAUGAAGAUGAGUAUAUCUUCUGUUUGUUGGGACAUAAUCCAGAGAGGAUCUUUCUCCCCAGAUAUUAUGGGAUGGCCACAUUUUACAGCUGAGAGUGGAGUGGAGUCCAGAACAGGAGAAGGCUCUGCAACUGAUUGAGACUGCCUGCUCUGUGCAAACUGCUCUGCCACUUGGGCCAUAUGACCCAGAAGAUCCAGUGGUGCUUGAGGUGUCAGUGGCAGACAAGGAUGCUGUUUAGAGCCAUUGGCAGGCUCCCAUAGGUGAAUCACAGUGGAGGCUUCUAGGAAUUUGAAGCAAGCCCCUGCCAUCUUCUGCAGAUAACUACUCUCCUUUUGAGAGACAGCUCUUGGCCUGUUACUGGGCUUUGGUGGAAACUGAAUGUUUGACUAUGGGUCACCAAGUCACCAUGUGAACUGAACUGCCUAUCAUGAACUGAGUGCUUUCUGAGCCAUGUAGCCAUAAAGUGGGUCAUGCACAACAGCAUUCCAUCAUCGAGUGGAAGUGGAAUAUAUGUGACUGGGCUCGAGCAGGUCCUGAAGGCACAAGUAAGUUACAUGAGAAAGUGGUUCAAAUGCCCAUGGUCUCCACUCUUUCCACCCUGCCUUCUCUUCUCCAGCCUGCACUGAUGGCCUCAUGGGGAGUUCCCUAUGAUCAGUUGGCUAGGGCCUGGUUCACAGAUGGUUCUGCACGAUAUGCAGGCACCACAUGGAAGUGGACAGCUGCAGCAUUAUAGCCCCUUUCUAGGACAUCCCCGAAGGACAGAGGUGAAGGGAAAUCUUCCCAGUGGGCAGAACUUCGAGCACUGUACCUGGUUGUGCACUUGGCAUGGAAGGAGAAAUGGCCAGAUGUGUGAUUAUAUACUGACUCAUGGGCUGUAGCCAGUGGUUUGGCUGGAUGGUCAGGGACUUGGAAGAAGCAUGAUUGGAAAAUUGGAGACAAAGAAAUUUGGAGAAGAGGUAUGUGGAUGGACCUCCCUGACUGGUCAAAAAAUGUGAAGAUAUUUGUAUCCCAUGUGAGUGCUCACCAACAGGCGACCUCAGCAGAGGAGGAUUUUAAUAAUCAAGUGGAUAUGAUGACCCCUUCUGUGGGCACUACUUAGCCUUUUUCCCCAGCCACCCCAAUUUGCCGCAGCAGAGACCGACACUGAGCCCUCGAUAUGACAGCAUUCCUCGGGGUGAUCAGCAGGUACCUGGUGGCAAGUUGAUUAUAUUGGACUUCUUCUAUCAUGGAAAGGGCAGAGGUUUGUCCUCACUGGAAUAGACACUUACUCUGGAUAUGGGUUUUCCUAUCCUGCAUGCAAUGCUUCUGCCGAGACUACCAUCCAUGGACUCAUGGAAUGCCUUAUCCACCAUCAUGGUCUUCCACACGUGAUUGCCUCUGACCAAGGCACUCACUUUACAGCUAAAGAAGUGUGGCAGUGGUCUCAUGCUCAUGGAAUUCACUGGUCUUACCACAUUCCCCAUUAUCCUGAAGCAGCUGGAUUGAUAGAACUGUAGAAUGGCCUUUUGAAAUCUUGAUAAUUACAAUGCCAACUAGGUGACAAUACUUUGCAGGGCUGGGGCAAAGUUUUCCAGAAGGCUGUGUAUGCUCUGAAUCAACAUUCAAUAUAUGGUACUGUUUCUCCCAUAGCCAGGAUUCAUGGGUCCAGGAAUCAAGGGGUGGAAAUGGAAGUGGCACCAGUCACCAUCACCCCUAGUGAUCCACUAGCAAAAUUUUGGCUUUCUGUUCCCACGACAUUACAUUCUGCUAGCCUAGAGGUCUUAGUUUCAGAGGGAGGAAUGCUGCCACCAGGAGGCACAACAAUGAUUCCAUUAAACUGAAAGUUAAAAUUACCACCUGGACACUUGGGGCUCCUCCUACCUUUAAGUCAACAGUCUAAGAAGGAAGUUACAGUGUUGGCUGGGGUGAUUGACCAGGACUAUAAAGAUAAAAACAGUCUGCUACUCCACAACUGAGGCAAGGAAGUGUAUGCAUGGAAUACCGGAGAUCCAUUAGGGUGUCUCUUGGUAUUACCAUGCCCUGUGAUUAAGGUCAAUGAGAAACUACAACAGCCCAAUGCAGGCAGAACUACAAAAGACCCAGACCCCUCAGGAAUGAAGGUUUGGGUCACUCCACCAGGAAAAAAAUCCACAACCUGCUGAAGUGCUUGUUGAAGGCAAAGGGAAUACAGAAUGGAUAGUAGACGGAGGUAGUCAUCAAUACCAGCUGUGACCACAUGACCAGCUACAGAAAUGAGGGCUGUAAUUGUCACAAGUAUUGCCUCCUUCUUUUGUUAAAAACAUGUUUGUGCAUGUAUACACUUGUACUAAGAAAAUAUCUUCAUUGUAUUUCCUUUUCGUUUAUCAUGUGACAUAAGAUUUAUUGACUUCAUAUCAGCAUUUAAGUAUUGUUAACUGUAUGUAAUAGUAUUUGGGUUUGGGAUUGGUGCAUUUCCAAUUGUACCAAGGAUAGUUGUAUUAUGUUACAUGGUCAGAAUUCUGACCUUAUUAUUGUCUUUAUUUUAUUUGAAGAUUAUGUAUGAUCUCUGGAGAUGUGUGUGGGUUCAAGUUGACAAGGGGUGGCCUUGUGAUGGUUAAUACUGAAUGUCAACUUCCUUGGAUUAAAGGAUGCAAUAUUGAUCCUGGAUGUGUCUGUGAGGGUGUUGCCAAAAGAGAUUAACAUUUGAGUCAGUAGGCUGGGGAAAGCAGACCCACCCUUAAUCAGGUGGGCACAAUCUAAUCAGCUGCCAGCAAAUAUAAAGCAGGCAGAAAAACGUGAAGCAAGGAGGUAGGCCUAGCUUUCCAGCCUACGUAGGUUCUCCCAUGCUGGAUGCUUCCUACCCUUGAACAUCAGGCUCCAAGUUCUUCAGUUUUGGGACUCAGACUGGCUCUUCUUGCUCCUCAGCUGGCAGACAGCCUAUUGUGGGACCUUGUGAUCAUGUAAGUUAAUACUUAAUAAACUCCCUUUUAUGUAUAUAUGUAUAUCCUAUUGCUUAUGUCCCUUUAAGAGAACCCUGACUAACACAUCAUGAUUCAGUUAAAACUCUCAGUAUGGGGGCUCAACAGGUCUGGGUUAAAGCCCAAGUUUCUCACCAACUCACUGACAGACGUGGGCAAAUCAAGGAGCCUCUCUCUCCAUGUCAUGUCCCUUCUUAAAGGGAAAUCAUAAAAAAGUGGGUUCAUGACAGGGGAACGUGGUAAGAAAGAUGAGGCACAGGUGUGGAAAUACUUUAGAGAAAAUACUAAAAUCUCUGCACAGCAUCUAAGAGAAGACACCUUCU
rnacentral:lncRNA from 1 species